GACGAACGCUGGCGGCGUGCCUAAUACAUGCAAGUCGAACGCAGUGGGGACGGGUGAGUAACACGUGGGUAACCUCCCAUCAGAGGGGAUAACACUUGGAAACAGGUGCUAAACCGAUACUGAUGGAUGGACCCGGGGUGCAUUAGCUAGUUGGUGAGGUAACGGCUCACCAAGGCGACGAUGCAUAGCCGGCCUGAGAGGAUGAUCGGCCACACUGGGACUGAGACACGGCCCAGACUCCUACGGGAGGCAGCAGUGGGGAAUCUUCGGCAAUGGGCGAAAGUCUGACCGAGCAACGCCGCGUGUGUGAAGAAGGUUUUCGGAUCGUAAAGCUCUGUUGUUAGAGAAGCGGUAUCUAAACAGAAAGCCACGGCUAACUACGUGCCAGCCGCCGCGGUAAUAC
rnacentral:rRNA from 1 species